GGGUGUGAUCAUACCAGCGUUAAUGCCCCAAAUCCCAUCAGAACUCCGUAGUUAAGCGCGCUUGGGCUAGAGUAGUAUUGGGAUGGGUGACCUCCCGGGAAGUCUUAGUGUUGCACCCU
rnacentral:rRNA from 1 species